AAACCAAACAAACGUGUAAUAUUUUUCCUCCUCUUCCUUCCUUGCCCGUCUGGCGCUCUGGUAAAACAGCCCUGCUGCCGAGUCCCGGGAGCUUUGCAGAUCUGUCCCUCCAGAACUCCAAGGCGCUUCACCUCCUGCACGGAGCUCGCUUCUUCCCUCUCGCAUCGUUAUUUUUGCUCAGCCUGUGCCCCCGUGGCUAGAACCUGCACACACACACACAUCCCUUCCCGAGCUCCGGGUGUCCCAGCACCCGGCCUCCCCUCGGGCUGGUGCACGCCGAGCAGACCCGGGCGGCCGAGCUCCGGAGCCGGGGCCGCUCCCCGCUGCCCGCCGGGGCAGGACCGGGCCGGGCCGUGCCGGGCAGCGCGGGCAGGAGGCGGCCAGCCCGGCCCGGCCACCCCCGGGGGAAGGCGCAGAGCCGCCACUGACCUGCGGGCGCCCGGCCCGGCCGUGCCGUGCCGCGGGGGACAAAAGCAGCGCUCCCGCGGCGGCUCCGGCCGGGAGCCGGGCAGAGGCAGAGCCGGGCAGCCCGUCCCCACGGCCCCGCCACCCUCCGGGCCCCGCCGGCCGCCAUGUCGGGCGGGCGCGGCCUUGUUCCGCCCGCUCCCGGCAUGCCGCGGCGCCUACAACUCCCAGCCGCCCCCCGGCCGCCCGCCGUUAACCCNNNNNNNNNNNNNNNNNNNNNNNNNCAACACCCCCCGCCCGCCCCCGGCCCGCCCGCCGUUAACCCUCUGCGGCGCCGAGGGGGCUCCGCAGCCGCCGCCGGCCCCUCGCCACCCGCCCCGGGCCCCUCUUUUCUCCCUACGGCCGCCGCUGCCUCGUGGUGGAGCCGCCAGCGGGCUCCCGCUGGGCCCCGGCUCCUCACGGCCGCCCCCGGCCCGGCCCGGCCCGGCCCGGCCCGCGGUGCCUGCUCUUCGCGGCCCGGCCCGGCCCGGCCCAGGCGGCCGCCGGGUUCCUGUGCUCCCGCGGCGGAGCUGCCGGUCCCCGCUGCAGCUCCUGGCUACCGGCCGCGGGGCUGUGCGCUGCCCGCUGUCUGCCAGCUAA
rnacentral:lncRNA from 1 species